ensembl:lncRNA
UAAGACUAACCAGCUCUCCCUUCCGAGAAGUUAAUCUGCACAAAAAUAUAUAAUCGUGCCGUCGUCUGAUAAAAAUCAAAUAGGCUACAGAAUAGCUUGAAGACAAUAGCUGUGCUGUGAUUUCAGCUAUACUUUUAUGUAAAAUUAGAGAAGCAACAUAUCAGUGUUUUAACUGAAAGCGCAGCUCCUUUCAGCCGCGCGCUGAACGCAGAGAGAGAAGUGUGCGCGCGCUGGGAAAGAGGGACCUCGCGCUCGUGCGGCAGUCAGCUUUAGAUGCAUAAAAUUUUAUUUUGCUACAAGCUGGAUACACAAGAAGCACGUUCAACUCGGACGCGCAGACGAUUGUCGUGCAUAAACACCGUAAACAGCAACCGUUCGCGUGUCCGCGCUUAAUGCUUAUCUCCUAUAUGAAAAGCAUUAGGGGGCCCUUGGCUUUUGGGGGCCCAAGGCAGUCGCCUACCUUUGCCUAAUGGGCAGAGUCUGUGUAUGUGGACACUCACUAUUUGCCCUCUCUUCAGUUCCUCUUGUCUGUCCUCCACAAGCAGAGACUCACUGAUAGACCACUGUUACCAGUUUUAGUGUUGACACAUCCACCCACGUCCCCACCACAAGUGUAUCCUGUACAGACACAGAACAUUGAGAAAAAAAGAGAUGCUGUUGUCUGCUGCCUCAUUAACUACCUCGGUGAAAGACAAGAAGAUCUUUUCCAUGACUGCCAGGAAUGUGAGGACUACACAGACAAAACGAUGAAGGUGAUUGUGAAGCACAAUGUCAUGGCUGAGGAGGAUCCAUCAGAUUUGUCUAUUGUGAUCGAGGGAAACCAAGUGAUGGAAGGAUGUGGAAGCCAAACAAAGGCAUGCAUAAUGCUGAUGGGACUCAUUUAUGCAAUCAACAUCAAAUAUCCAAAGGAGCUGAAGAACAUGUUUGAAGCUUUUCAAAAACUUUUUUUGGAAAUUGAUGGGGCAAAACUACUGAAAAAGGUCCACAGCCUCAAAAAUAAGCUCAUGCAGUAAACACACAUUUCCCCUGUUGUUCGAAGAGGAUCUUUUGUCUGGACAUACUUUUAAUGGAGUUGUAAUGUAGUGUAGUUUUAUAUUUUUCUUCUUUUCCCUUAUUUGCUCCAGACACAGAUCCAUCCACUCUCUCUCAGCCCACUCCAUUGCUCUGUGAUUUCCCCUAGAUUGACAGAAAAGGAAUACCAAUAGAAAGUUGCCGGAAGAAUUUUGAUCUCUCCUUCUACCCUCCCCCCAUUUGAGAGUGAGAGCAAGCUCAAAAACUAAAGAAUGUUGGUGUUCUGUUUUA